CAGCCGUAAACAAUGUGCGUUAGGUAUGUCGGUAACCACGUGUUACUGAUGUGCCGAAGAGAAAUCGUGAAACGCACCACCUGGGAAGUACGGUCGCAAGGCUGAAACUUAAAGGAAUUGGCGGGGGAGCACCGCAACGGGAGGAGCGUGCGGUUUAAUUGGAUUCGACACCGUAAAACUCACCAGGGAAGACUGUUACAUGAAAGCCGAGUUGAAGACUCUGCUAGAUUUUCAGAGAGGAGGUGCAUGGCGUCAGUGACU
rnacentral:rRNA from 1 species